rnacentral:rRNA from 1 species
GACGAACGCUGGCGGCGUGCUUAACACAUGCAAGUCGAACGGAAAGGCCCUGCUUUUGUGGGGUGCUCGAGUGGCGAACGGGUGAGUAACACGUGAGUAACCUGCCCUUGACUUUGGGAUAACUUCAGGAAACUGGGGCUAAUACCGGAUAGGAGCUCCUGCUGCAUGGUGGGGGUUGGAAAGUUUCGGCGGUUGGGGAUGGACUCGCGGCUUAUCAGCUUGUUGGUGGGGUAGUGGCUUACCAAGGCUUUGACGGGUAGCCGGCCUGAGAGGGUGACCGGCCACAUUGGGACUGAGAUACUGCCCAGACUCCUACGGGAGGCAGCAGUGGGGAAUAUUGCACAAUGGGCGGAAGCCUGAUGCAGCAACGCCGCGUGCGGGAUGACGGCCUUCGGGUUGUAAACCGCUUUCGCCUGUGACGAAGCGUGAGUGACGGGAAUGGGUAAAGAAGCACCGGCUAACUACGU